UGGGAAGAACCAGAAGAAUCGAGAGAGAGGGAGAUCUCGGUGCUUUCUGACCCGAGACGCAGCACGACCCGAGAGAGAGACCGACCGGAACUUCCACGUCCGGCCACCCCACGUCAGCGCGCUACCACCCACGCCUUCGUCUCUGCAUCGCCUACCUCCCUGCAGCCUCUAAUCGUCCAUGCAUCGACUGUGAGAGGAGAAUCGACGGCUGGAAGCUCCGAGACUUCUCCGGCGAGUUCUGUAAUUUUCGAGGAUUCCGGCCACAAUCUGGGCUAUAAUUGCGCCAGCGACUUUUCCAACAUUUCUGGUCUGGGUUUCAGCUUCGGCUGCAGCUCUAGACGAGAGAUUGUGAAGCUUUCUGGGUUGUAGCACGAGGGAUCAUCAACUCAUCACUUUCCCGGUCCCGGCAGUGCGUUGGGCUCGGUUGCAGUCGACUUCCGAAGGUGUAAUUCGACUUCUUGAGUGGAAGUUUGGUUCUUGUUGGGUAAACCGGAAUCUGUUGCUGGUAUUGAAACUUUUGAAUCAAUUGUUUGUGUGUGCAAUGGAUUGUGGAGUUGUGGCAGAGCUCGGGUUGUCUAGGUUGUGUAUUUAGUUUGUUAAGUUGUUGUAGUUAGCAAGCUGGAAUAUAUUUUGACUUGAAAGUGGUUGCCUUGUUAAAUGGGUAUUGUGUUGUAUGUUUGAAUUGUGGUUGUCUUAUGAAUUGGUUGUGGAAUAAUCGAAAAAUGGUCAAGUUAUGAAGCUUGGGUGUCCUUAGUAAUUUUGAGUAUACCUUGUAUGAAAAUUUGGAAGUAUGGGUGUCCAU